rnacentral:rRNA from 1 species
AUGGAGAGUUUGAUCCUGGCUCAGGAUGAACGCUAGCGGCAGGCUUAAUACAUGCAAGUCGAACGGCAGCGGCACCUUCGGGUGGCCGGCGAGUGGCGCACGGGUGAGUAACGCGUACAAAACCUACCUUUUACUGGGGGAAAGUCGCUGGAAACGGCGAAUAAUCCCGCAUAAGACCACAGUGUCGCAUGGCACAGAGGUUAAAGGCUUCGGUCGGUAAAAGAUGGUUGUGCGUUCCAUUAGCUAGAUGGUAGGGUAACGGCCUACCAUGGCGACGAUGGGUAGGGGGCGUGAGAGCGUGAUCCCCCACACGGGUACUGAGACACGGACCCGACUCCUACGGGAGGCAGCAGUAAGGAAUAUUGGACAAUGGGUGAGAGCCUGAUCCAGCCAUGCCGCGUGCAGGAAGACUGCCCUACGGGUUGUAAGCUGCU